UUUCCUCUGCAGUGUUCGCGAUGGCUCAAUUCCUUUGAACCAAUACUUCGCUUUUCGACUGCCAAGCGUGUAGUGGGCGUGUGACGUUUCUUUUAGAAACAUCCCCAAAACUAUCCAGGCGCGGUCAACCUUGUCACCAAGGUUCAAGCGGAUCAGCCAAGACGACACAUGCGGAGGACCC
rnacentral:other from 1 species